rnacentral:rRNA from 1 species
UACGUAGGGUGCAAGCGUUGUCCGGAAUUAUUGGGCGUAAAGAGCUCGUAGGCGGUCUGUCGCGUCGAAUGUGAAAACCCGGGGCUCAACCCCGGGCCUGCAUUCGAUACGGGCAGACUAGAGUUCGGUAGGGGAGUCUGGAAUUCCUGGUGUAGCGGUGAAAUGCGCAGAUAUCAGGAGGAACACCGGUGGCGAAGGCAGGUCACUGGGCCGCAACUGACGCUGAGGAGCGAAAGCAUGGGGAGCGAACAGG